GACGAACGCUGGCGGCGUGCUUAACACAUGCAAGUCGAACGGAAAGGCCCUGCUCUUGUGGGGCUCUCGAGUGGCGAACGGGUGAGUAACACGUGUGUAACCCGCCCUUGACUUUGGGAUAACUUCAGGAAACUGGGGCUAAUACCGGAUAGGAGCUCCUGCUGCAUGGUGGGGGUUGGAAAGUUUCGGCGGUGGGGGAUGGACUCGCGGCUUAUCCGCUUGUUGGUGGGGUUGUGGCUUACCAAGGCUUUGACGGGUAGCCGGCCUGGGAGGGUGACCGGCCACAUUGGUACUGAGGGACGGACCAGACGCCAACGGGAGGCAGCGGGCGGAAAUCUGGCAGAGCGGGGGGACGCGAGUGACGGAAACCCGCGGAUCGGAAUACCGGCUUACGGGUGGAAAACCACUUUGGCCGUUACCAAGCACUGCGUGACGGUAAUGGGUAAAGAAGCACCGGCUAACUACGUG
rnacentral:rRNA from 1 species